GGACCCGCACAAGUAGUGGAGCAUGUGGUUUAAUUCGAAGAUACGCGCAGAACCUUACCAACACUUGACAUGUUUGUCGCGACUCUAAGAGAUUGGAGUUUUCGGUUCGGCCGGACAAAACACAGGUGCUGCAUGGCUGUCGUCAGCUCGUGUCGUGAGAUGUUGGGUUAAGUCCGCAACGAGCGCAACCCUCACUUUUAGUUGCCAUCAUUUAGUUGGGCACUCUGAAAGAACUGCCAGUGAUAAGCUGGAGGAAGGUGGGAUGACGUCAAGUCCUCAUGGCCCUUACGUGUUGGGCUACACACGUGCUACAAUGGCCGGUACAGAGGGCAGCCACACCGCAAGGUGGAGCG
rnacentral:rRNA from 1 species